GACGAACGCUGGCGGCGUGCCUAAUACAUGCAAGUCGAACGCAGUGGGGACGGGUGAGUAACCCGUGGGUAACCUCCCAUCAGAGGGGAUAACACUUGGAAACAGGUGCUAAACCGAUACUGAUGGAUGGACCCGCGGUGCAUUAGCUAGUUGGUGAGGUAACGGCUCACCAAGGCCACGAUGCAUAGCCGGCGUGUGAGGUGGAGCGGCCACACUGGGACUGAGACACGGCCCAGAGUCCUACGGGAGGCAGCAUUGGGGAAUCUUCGGCAAUGGACGAAAGUCUGACCGAGCAAUGCCGCGUGAGUGAAGAAGGUUUUCGGAUCGUAAAACUCUGUUGUUAGGGAGGCGGUAUCUAACCAGAAAGCCACGGCUAACUACGUGCCAGCAGCCGCGGUAAUAC
rnacentral:rRNA from 1 species